GACGAACGCUGGCGGCGUGCUUAACACAUGCAAGUCGAACGGUGAAAGCGGAGCUUGCUCCGCUGGAUCAGUGGCGAACGGGUGAGUAACACGUGGGCAACCUGCCCCUCACUUCGGGAUAACUCCGGGAAACCGGGGCUAAUACCGGAUAUGACCUCCUUGGGCAUCCUUGGAGGUGGAAAGUUUUUCGGUGAGGGAUGGGCCCGCGGCCUAUCAGCUUGUUGGUGAGGUAGUGGCUCACCAAGGCGACGACGGGUAGCCGGCCUGAGAGGGCGACGGGACACACUGGGACUGAGACACGGCCCAGACUCCUACGGGAGGCAGCAGUGGGGAAUAUUGCGCAAUGGGCGAAAGCCUGACGCAGCAACGCCGCGUGCGGGAUGACGGCCUUCGGGUUGUAAACCGCUUUCAGCAGGGAAGAAGCCGCAAGGUGACGGUACCUGCAGAAGAAGCACCGACUAACUACGUGCCAGCCGCCGCGGUAA
rnacentral:rRNA from 1 species